rnacentral:rRNA from 1 species
UACGAAGGGGGCUAGCGUUGUUCGGAUUUACUGGGCGUAAAGCGCACGUAGGCGGAUCGUUAAGUCGGGGGGUGAAAUCCUGGAGCUCAACUCCAGAACUGCCUUCGAUACUGGCGAUCUCGAGUCCGGAAGAGGUGAGUGGAACUCCUAGUGUAGAGGUGGAAUUCGUAGAUAUUAGGAAGAACACCAGUGGCGAAGGCGACUCACUGGUCCGGUACUGACGCUGAGGUGCGAAAGCGUGGGGAGCAAACAGGG